GCGGGUGUGGCGGAAUUGGCAGACGCACUAGACUUAGGAUCUAGCGCCUUUGGCGUGGGGGUUCGAAUCCCUUCACCCGCA
rnacentral:tRNA from 6 species